UACGGAGGGUGCAAGCGUUAUCCGGAUUCACUGGGUUUAAAGGGUGCGUAGGUGGGUAGGUAAGUCAGUGGUGAAAUCCCCGAGCUUAACUUGGGAACUGCCGUUGAUACUAUCUAUCUUGAAUAUCGAGUAGGUAAGCGGAAUAUGUCAUGUAGCGGUGAAAUGCUUAGAUAUGACAUAGAACACCAAUGGCGAAGGCAGCUUACUUCAAGAUUAUUGACACUGAGGCACGAAAGCGUGGGGAUCAAACAGG
rnacentral:rRNA from 1 species